ACUGUAUUUUUUACUUUGUUUAUUAAUUUUUUUGUUUUUGUUAGAAGUUUAUAAUUUUUUAUUAUUUUUUAUGGAAAAAAUAUUUUUAGUUAUAGUUUAAGGUACUGUGAGGGGUUGAUAUUUUGUUUAAGAAAGAAAAUUUUAUUUUUUGUACCUUUUGUAUCAGGGUUUAUUAAUUUAAGAUAAAGUUUAUUUAUUUUCCCGAUUCUAGGAGAGCUAUAAAUUUAUUGAUUUUGCUGUUUCAUAAUCAUUUUUAAUAAAUUUAUUGUGGCGAGAUGUUAUUCGUUUCUAGGUGUAUCUGGUUUUUCAAGAAAUGAAUUUAAUUCAUUAGGAAUUGUAUAAUAUUUUUUUAAAAAAAUUAUUGUUUUUUUUCUUUAAAUUUAGGAGGGGAUAAGCUUUUCUAUUUUUUAAAAAUUUGUAUUUUCUUAUUUUUCAUAGGAUUAGAAUUUUCCAUUGUUUAAAUUAUGUUAUAUUUUGUUUUGUUUUUAUUUUAUUUUUAUUUGUUUUAAUUUUUUAUUGAAAUUUAAUUAUUAAUUUUUUUGUUUAGUAAUAAUGAUAGAAUUAGUAUAAUUGUGUGUUUAUUAUUUUUUUUCUUUUUAGUUUAAGUAAAGGAAUUCGGCAAAUUAAUUUCCACCUGUUUAUUAAAAACAUGUCCUUUUGUUUAUGUUUUAAGGUUUGGCCUGCCCUAUGAUUUUAAAUGGCCGCAGUAUUUUGACUGUGCAAAGGUAGCAUAAUCAUUAGUUUUUUAAUUGAGAUCUGGAAUGAAAGGUUUGAUGAGAAAUUAACUGUCUCUAUUUUAUUUUUAGAAUUUUAUUUUUGAGUUAGAAAGCUUAAAUUUUGUAUAAAGACGAGAAGACCCUAUAGAGUUUUAUUUUUUCUUGAAUUUGUUUUUUUGUUUAUGUUUAUUUAAGAAGAAGUUUUGUUGGGGUGAUUAUUAAAUUUAUUGAACUUUAAUUUAUUUUCACAGUGAUAACUGGUUAUUUGAUCCUGUUGUUUGGAUUUUAAGAUAAAAUUACCUUAGGGAUAACAGCGUUAUCUUUUCUGAAAGUUCUUAUUGAAGAAAAGGAUUGCGACCUCGAUGUUGGAUUAAAAUUUAUUUUUGGUGUAGUAGCUAAACUAUUAGGUCUGUUCGACCUUUAAAAUUUUACAUGAUCUGAGUUUAGACCGGCGUGAGCCAGGUUGGUUUCUAUCUUUUAUUUUUUUUGAUGUUUUAGUACGAAAGGACCA
rnacentral:rRNA from 1 species